rnacentral:rRNA from 1 species
CAAUAGCGUAUAUUAAAGUUGUUGCAGUUAAAAAGCUCGUAGUUGGAUUUCUGGUUGAAGCGACCGGUCGGGCGUUGAUUCGUCUGCACUGGAGUCGGUUUUGGCCAUCCUCUAGGAAAGUGCGUCUGGUAUUAAGUUAUCGGGCGUAUGAUCCUGGUCUUUUACUGUGAAAAAAUUAGAGUGUUUAAAGCAGGCCUUCGCCUUGAAUACAUUAGCAUGGAAUAAUAAGAUAGGACUUUGGUCUAUUUUGUUGGUUUGCAGACCGAAGUAAUGAUUAAUAGGGAUAGUUGGGGGUAUUUAUAUUCCGAUUUCAGAGGUGAAAUUCUUAGAUUUUCGGAAGAUAAACUUAUGCGAAAGCAUUUACCAAGGAUGUUUUCAUUAA